rnacentral:rRNA from 1 species
AGCAGCCGCGGUAAUUCCAGCUCCAAUAGCGUAUAUUAAAGUUGUUGCAGUUAAAAAGCUCGUAGUUGAACCUCGGGGUCUACCCAUUGGUCAGGCUUAAUGUCUGCACUGGUGAGAUGGAUCUCUACCUUCUGAGGAACUUUCAUGCCAUUUAUUUGGUGUGAUGGGAAAUCAGGACUGUUACUUUGAAAAAAUUAGAGUGUUUAAAGCAGACUAUCGUCUGAAUACAUUAGCAUGGAAUAAUGAAAUAGGACGGACUGAUUCUAUUUCGUUGGUUUCUAGGAUCACCGUAAUGAUUAAUAGGGAUAGUUGGGGGCAUUAGUAUUCAAUUGUCAGAGGUGAAAUUCUUGGAUUUAUUGAAGACUAACUACUGCGAAAGCAUUUGCCAAGGAUGUUUUCAUUAAUCAAGAACGAAAGUUAGGGGAUCGAAGACGAUCAGAUACCGUCGUAGUCUUAACCAUAAACUAUGCCGACUAGGGAUCGGACGAAGUUAAUUUUAUAAUGACGCGUUCGGCACCUUACG